rnacentral:rRNA from 1 species
UACGGAGGGUGCAAGCGUUAAUCGGAAUUACUGGGCGUAAAGGGUGCGUAGGCGGUUCGUUAAGUCUGUCGUGAAAUCCCCGGGCUCAACCUGGGAAUGGCGGUGGAUACUGGGCAGCUAGAGUGUGUCAGAGGAUGGUGGAAUUCCCGGUGUAGCGGUGAAAUGCGUAGAGAUCGGGAGGAACAUCAGUGGCGAAGGCGGCCAUCUGGGACAACACUGACGCUGAAGCACGAAAGCGUGGGGAGCAAACAGG